UACGUAGGGUGCAAGCGUUAAUCGGAAUGACUGGGCGUAAAGGGUGCGCAGGCGGUUUGUUAAGAUGGAUGUGAAAGCCCCAGGCUCAACCUGGGAAUGGCAUACGUGACUGACAAACUAGAAUAUGGUAGAGGGAGGCGGAAUUCCAUGUGUAGCAGUGAAAUGCGUAGAGAUGUGGAGGAACACCGAUGGCGAAGGCAGCCUCCUGGGCCAAUAUUGACGCUCAGGCACGAAAGCGUGGGGAGCAAACAGG
rnacentral:rRNA from 1 species